UGGUGACAUCUGCAUCUUUGUACCGGUUAAGGGUGGGGAAAGGUACACAUUCACGGUCCAUGUAGUCCGUGCAGAAGCUACUCAUCAUAGGGGUGUUAAAAGGAUUCGCUCAACCCAUGAUUCUCCCGUUAGUGGGAAAGGAAUGGCAAAUCCAGAUGUCAUUUAGAAAUGGCAAACGAUGGAUGCACUCGUACAUGGUUGGAAGCAAGUUUGUCCACGGCAAUGAUCUGUAUUCUGGGGACAUGUACCAUGCUUGUCCCAUAUCAUUUCCAGAGAUCGGCUCUGGCUUCUAGCGGGGCAGAAUGAUGCUGCUAGCACCUGCGUGCUCUUUCUGGUUGUACUACCAUGGUUGUCUGGUUGUACUCCUAUAUAUCCAUCCUGAAAGGAGCUGCUAAGUUGAAAUGAGCCAUGUUGAGACUUUGUUCGUUUCGCAGGAUGAAUAUUGCAAGUUCAUUUUUGUCUAGUGUUUGUUUCAUCAGCAUGUACGCCGAGGCUUGUGGUACAGCUAGCUGUGUUUUGCUGUGCUGGUGCUUUAAGGGAUCUUGGUUCUUUUGUCAUCUGGAGGCUGUUGCCUGAGAGAAGAUCCUAAAAUCAGAAUUUGUGCAACUAAAUUUUGUUGCCACAGCGUCUUUAAGAUUAGUAAAUUCUCCCAACAACAUCUCAACAAAUAAAUUAAACUCCCAACAAGAACUUGUGAUAGAGCAGGAAUCUUGCAUUGAAUUGAAAUCAUUCAGCACUUACUCAAAAGCUCACGAAGUCAUGAUAUAAGAGGCAGUAGCAUUGCUUUUUUCCUGUCACUUCUCAUGUUCAUCCAUAUAAUGCAAUAUCCAGCAAGCAAAUAUGCAAGAGAGAGAAAGCAAACUGAAGAUGAUUCAACUUUAGAGUCUUCUAAAUUGGAAUGAGAGAAAGCAAACACAUAUGUUGCUGCUGUUAUCAAUGAACUGGUAAUAGAUCACUUUGUUUGACAGCCGGUCUGCACCAUCAAUUAGAGUUUAAAGGAUCGUAGUACAUCACUGUUCUUGAAGUCAAUCUUCUCAGGAUAACAAGCAAGAUUUUUUUUUUACCGGAACAACCACUGCAAAUUUGAUGGAGCCUUUAUUGAGCAAACCUCCAUAGAGUAGUUGGGUUUGAAUUGGGAGGUACUGUAAACAAUAAAUAGAUGACACCCCGCGCUUUGCCGAGGGAAUUCUUAGUCAUAUGCACUCUCUCCGUAAACUAUUAUAAGAGCAUUUAGAAUACUACUUUAGUAAUCUAAACACUCUUAUAUUAGUUUACAGAGGGAGUACAUGAUAUAAUAUAUAAACUGAAUAAUCUGCUUUCAUAGUAGGCAUAUGAUAUUAAGAUUUUUUUUUGGAACACCCUACUCCAGAGUAUGGUUAAAAGAUGAACAUCCUCGUGCACUCUACACGCAAUAAAGAAGAAUACAUUGUCCGAGCGAUUUUGUAGGUGUGUGAUCGCAUACUUUUUUAAUCCACGCAGAAGCUACUCAUUCACGGUCCAUAUAAUCCGUGCAGAAGCUACUCAUCAUUUUUUUGAUAAAGGGAAUACAUUAAUAUCGUGAAGAUACCAAUUACACCUAGCCUCUGCACCAAUAAGACAUCCAAAGACACCAGGGAUGCACACAACGAAGAACAAAAUAAACAAGAGAGAAAAUAAAAACAAAGACUCCGUCGCGGUGUACAACACCUCGCAACACAAGCACUCUAACCGUCAUCGAAUACAACACCAGUACUACAACCUAGGCUCUCCAAAAGCAACACCUCAAAGAAGAAAACAAUGCACAAGCGUUGUUGUCGCUCGAUCGAAGAUCUUGGGUUUUCACCCCGGAGAAAGACCGAGUUUCCAAAACAAUGUCUUCAACAAGGCCAUUGCCAGGUACAACCAAUGAUGGCCAGACCUUGGGUUUUCACCCUGGAAAUCAAGGCUCAGUACUCGACGAGCACCACCAAAGAUGCAGUCCACCUGUGUUGCCACACCCGCUUGCCCAGGCUGCUGCUGCGAGUCACCGCACACCCGACACACAGGAAGAACCUGUGCCGCGUUGUCUUCAACACAACCAACCAACCACCAAUCACAGCCACCAUGACUUUCUCCAACUCUGUCAGAUCCAUGGAAAUCUAUGUCCCAUAUCACCGAACGGUAGACGAAGCUUCACACGGCGCCCCGGAAGGGUGCGCACGACCGCAUCGAUUUCUCUUUGGAUCUCGAGUAGUAUCAUGUGCCACUGCGGAGAUCACUGAAAAGAAGACCGGAACUGGUCGGCGGCCAGAUCGAGGUGGUCGACAUGAAGCCAGGCCGAAACUCUGCAGGGUCGGACCCCAUAUAAUCGAAACCUGGCCAACGACCGCCACACUACCGGCUAUCACCGACCGCCCGUCCCACCGGAAGAGGCCGAUAGAAAGAAGGCGACCCCGGCUGCCAUGCUCGCAAGCACCACGACGAGCCACGCUGCGGCGGAGAGGAACACGAGACGGCCGCACGAGCGCCGCAGCCGCGGCCCAGUCAGACCCAGUCCAUCACCAGCCACGCCACCGCCCCGAUCCGCCGCUCCACCACCGCAAGAACCCGCCGCCUCGCCGGAUCGGGUGCCACGCCAAACUGUACACGACCCAUCAGCUCGUCCUCUCCGCCGAACAAGAAGAACAGAGGUGCGUCUUCCUCGACCUCACCGCCUUCGACGGCCAGCGUGCCGCCAGGCGGUGGUGGCGGCCAGAGAUGCUUGGUGAUUAGGUUUUUUUUGGUGGAGGCGUGUUUGCCCUGGAGCCGCACGCGCGUGCGACCCGGAGGCGUGGUCAGGAUCUAAAAAUUGAUGGACACAUCCUUUUUAAAUAUGAGUACUAGGAUUUUAAUUCUCGAUUACGAACCAAGCUUAGUCCUCAAUAAAUGAGUGAGUACUAGGAAAGCCUGGUCCUCAAGAAUAAGUAGGAACCUAAAUUCACCUCUGUCAGGAAAGCCUGGUCCUCAAGAAUAAAUAGGAACCUAAAUUUACCUUCACGAGAAUUUGAACUCAGGUGUUGGGUUUGUACAUCCACUCCCCUAACCAGUUGAGCUAGGCUCACUUCCCAUUAGGGUGUUAAAAGGGUUCAGUCAACCCAUGAUUCUCCGGUUAGUGGGGAAGGAAUGACAAAUCCAGAUGUCGUUUAGGAAUGGCAAGAUGCACUCGUAAAUGGUUGGAAGCAAGUUUGUCCACGGCAAUGGUCUGUAUUCUGGGGACAUGUACCAUG
rnacentral:lncRNA from 1 species